GUGUCAGCAGCCGCGGUAAUACGUAGGGUGCGAGCGUUGUCCGGAUUUAUUGGGUUUAAAGGGUGCGUAGGCGGGAGAGUAAGUUCGCUUUUAAAGCCGGCCGCUUAACGGUCAGGUAGGGGGCGGAUACUGCUUUUCUUGAGAGGGCUCGGGGCUGGCGGAAUUUGUGGUGUAGCGGUGAAAUGCAUAGAUACCACAAGGAACACCGAUCGCGUAGGCAGCCAGCCAGGGCCUUUCUGACGCUGAGGCACGAAAGUGCGGGGAGCAAACAGGAUUAGAUACCCUAGUAGUC
rnacentral:rRNA from 1 species